rnacentral:rRNA from 1 species
UACGGGGGGGGCAAGCGUUGUUCGGAAUUACUGGGCGUAAAGGGCUCGUAGGCGGCCAACUAAGUCGGAUGUGAAAUCCCCAGGCUUAACCUGGGAACUGCAUCCGAUACUGGAUGGCUUGAGUCCGGGAGAGGGAUGCAGAAUUCCAGGUGUAGCGGUGAAAUGCGUAGAUAUCUGGAGGAAUACCGGUGGCGAAGGCGGCAUCCUGGACCGGCAUUGACGCUGAUGAGCGAAAGCGAGGGGAGCAAACGGG